rnacentral:rRNA from 1 species
UAUGUGAUCGUCUCUCGCAUAUCAAUAAGCGGAGGAAAAGAAACUAACAAGGAUUCCCCUAGUAACGGCGAGUGAAGCGGGAAGAGCUCAAAUUUGAAAUCUUAAAGGGUUUCCCUUUACGAAUUGUAGUUUAAAGAAGUGUUUUCUGUUGAGGUUUUGGUAAAAGUUCUUUGGAAUAGGACAUCAUAGAGGGUGAGAAUCCCGUAUUUGACCUUUACUUUCAACUUUGUGAUACACUUUCAAAGAGUCAGGAUUGUUUGGGAAUGCAGUCCAAAAUGGGUGGUAAAUUUCAUCUAAAGCUAAAUAUUGGCGAGAGACCGAUAGCGAACAAGUACCGUGAGGGAAAGAUGAAAAGAACUUUGAAAAGAGAGUUAAACAGUACGUGAAAUUGUCAAAAGGGAAGCGUUUGACACCAGUGUUGUUUUUCUGAAAAUCAAUUAAAGAACUGUUUAUGCUAAGCUGUUUAGACUUUAUCAGCUAUCUGUUUAGUUUUGAGCUUUUCUUUAAUGCACUUUUCAGUUAACAAGUCAACAUCAAUUUCUUUUGCUGUAAAAAAGCUUGAGGAAGGUGGCUUGAGAUUCGUCUUAAGUGUUUAUAGCCUCUUGCCUAUGCAGUCGGAGAGAUUGAGGUCUGCAGCGUAGAUCCUUCGGGGCUAAAUGCAUUUGUGCUAAGUUAUAGCAUUUUAUAGACAACUUGUUGACUAUGAUUUGUCUUGUAGCUUACUCGCUUAUGUUAUUUUACCUACGCUUAGGAUGUUGAACGCGCACAGAGUCUC